UACGUAGGGAGCAAGCGUUGUCCGGAAUCAUUGGGCGUAAAGCGCGCGUAGGUGGCCUCGUAAGUCCGCUGUGAAAGUCAAAGGCUCAACCUUUGAAAGCCGGUGGAUACUGUGAGGCUAGAGUACGGAAGAGGCGAGUGGAAUUCCUGGUGUAGCGGUGGAAUGCGCAGAUAUCAGGAGGAACACCAAUGGCGAAGGCAGCUCGCUGGAACGGUACUGACGCUGAGGCGCGAAAGCGUGGGGAGCGAACAGG
rnacentral:rRNA from 1 species